GCCCAAUGCUUUGAUUUGAAAUCAUCCACGUUACCUUCUUCUUUACCCCAUCUACUCUACUGCCUUUGUCUUCUUUAAAUUACCCACAGCCCUACCCCAUACACUUCACCACAGAUGAAUCUCAUCACUUUCAUCUCAAUUAUACUUCCCAAAAUUCGAUUUCUUCCAAAAUAAGUAAACAAACUUCGCCCUUUUUCUUUACAGAAGCGCCUAAACAAGAGCAGCAUAAGCAGUAAAAAACAUUCACCUCAUCAAGAUAGAACAGAAGCAGAGCUCAGCCCUCUUCAUCUUCUUCAUAAUCACAUCACGGUACCCCCAAAGUUUCCAUCUUUACUUCAUUAUUCCCACACUAUUCUUUUCGUUCUGAUGAACUUUGAUGACACACGAAACCAACAAACAAGAAAUAUACGAAUAAAAUUCUGCUGAUUUAAAAUCAUCAUAGACAAUACCAUCAAACUUGUGCCUUGACAUUUACACUUUGAACUGGACUCUUGUGAAGGAAUUGAAGAAACACAGAGAAGAACGAACCCUUAAAAUUUUGAUAAAACUUCAGUCUUUACAGCUUCGAUCUUGCUGCGCUUGAUUCUUGUUGUGUGUGUUAGUAUGGCGUGAGUUCAAUCGGGGCUAGGAGGGGUUGAAGCAGGGAGAGCGGCGGCAGCGGCUGAUGGGCUGCUGCUGUUCGGACCGAAGGAGAAGGGGGCGACGGUGAAUCUCGCCGUUCGCCGUGAGAGAAAGAGGAGAGGCGGCGGCAAUUUUGACGGCCACUGGCUGUCCGGCGAGGGAGGAGGGAAGAAGGCGGCGAAAACGCCGCUAUGGUAGAAGGUGGCAGGCGGAUGAGUGAGAGGAAGAGAGAGAGAGUGGUUUUCUAAUUUGAGCCUUGAGAGAGAGAUUUUGGGUUUCUGUAUCAGGCGGUUUGAUCAAUUGGGGGAUGGAGAUGGAGAAAAGAGGCGGCGGAGAGGUGAAGGGGGCGGCGACGCGGCAGCCGUGGAAGAGCGGCGGCGACCGCAGCUGUUUAUGGCGAGAGAAGGGAUAGAGACAGAGAGAGUGGGGCGAGAUGUUGAGAGGGAGAGUCGGCAGAUGCAGAUGCUGGUGAGGGUGAAGGUGAUGAGCGCCGGCGAAGCGCCGCCGGUCUUGCUGGAGGUGGACGACGGCUUGGGAGAGAGAAGCGAUUUCUGUGAGAGAGAGAGACGCAUAUGAGAAUGAACAGGAGAGAGAGAAGUGGUUUGGGCUUGGUUUUAUUUCAGUUGGGCUCAUUUAAUUGGGUUUUAGCAUAGUCUUUUAUUAGGGUUGGGUUGAUUUAAUUGCUGGGCUUAUUCUUUUUAAGUUGGCUCUUUUCUUAAUUGAAAUUUGAGCUUUAGUUAUUAAAGAAUUAGGUUGCCAAUUAUUAUUUAUUACUUGGGCCUUAAUUUAAGUUGGUUUAAUUUAUUUUCAAGUUUAUAAGUGAGUUUUAAAAUUCGGGCAUAGCGAAUCAGAACUUAGUAGCCUCGUUUUGCUAUUAUCUAAGGCUAGUAUCACGAGACCUAUUAAGAUUAGAUUAUCUUGUAGGCUCAAUUGACCAAGAGGAUUAACAUUGCUUUUACGAGACGAGUUACGUUUGACUUCGGACUUUGUCCAAUCAAGGUUGAUCGGCUGGUGCAGAUGGGGUUGAGCUGAGGCUAGGGUUCCACGCUGGCUUUUGCUUCCGCUAAUGACUAGCUUGUUAUCUUGUAUUUCAAUUCCCUAAACUAAGAACUUCUAUUAUAUGAUGCAAUAUUAUCUUGUUGAGUAAACCUUUUUAACUCAUAUUUCUAUUAAUAAAGUUAUUGUUGGUUA